AAAUUAUGUUCUGUCUACGAUAGUAGAUGACAUAUUGGGUUGGGUUUUUUUUUCGUCCGCACAACGUGGUUAAACUUGAAGCGGUACGCAUAUCAGCUUGGAAGGGGGUCUCAUGUGGGGGUUCGGAUCCCGCUUACUGUUUUGUCAGAUUCCCGUAUCCCGCUUACACUAUUUACGGAAGCAAUUCUCAUUUUUUUGUCAUUUUACCUCAUUUCCCGUUUUCACGACACAAUAAUUUGACUUUCACGUGUCCCGCUUACAAAAACUCAGCAAUCCCGCGUCACGCUUAGACCCUAAUGAGGCCCACUUGGAACUUAUUCAUUAAAAUAGAGACGGUUUAAGCUAUAAUUAUUCCAAAUUGGACAAGGAAAUUCUUGUGAUUCGUUAUUUUGAGGUCCAUAUUAAUUGAUGCCUUUAUUAAUUACCGGAAUCGUACGUUACAGCAGCUAAUUGCAUAACAUCGGUAACUCCAAAUCUCUAUGCUUCAGUAUGGUUGAAUGUGGCCCCUUCUAUAAAGUUAUGGAGCCAAUUGAUCAACUUUCACACAGAGUUCAAAUGACGUGUCAACAAUUAUAGGCCAUUUUACGGCAUUCAAUAAAGAGCGCCUCUAAUUAUAUAAGGUGACACGGGGGAUAAUUUGUUUUACUCUUGGUCUUCUGUUCGGCCGUAAUACUAAUUGUGGGAUGUAUAAGUACACAGCCACGUUCGGUCAGAAUGCUGACGCUAAAUGUUAAUUAAAAAAAAAAUGGUUUUAUACGACGUUAAAAAAAAAACAAGAAGCCGUACGUAACUUUGAAGGUAGCUGUUCGUAACAUUAAUUAAUUAUAUAGAACGGCUGUACUUCAGGUUCAAAGAAAGAACGCUAAGCACAUCAAUUCAAGUAGAUGUAUUUUGAGGAGAGAAAAAGAAUGAAAUUGUCUAUUUACUACAUCAACAAAAUGUACGCAUCAAAACGUAUUAUUUUAUUUGACAAGUACCAAAAAGACAUUAAAAUUCUUACUAAAUCAAAACAGAGCAUUGCGAGAUCGGACAGAUAAUACGGAUGGCAAAACAUACAUAUAUAUAUAUA
rnacentral:lncRNA from 1 species